UACGGGGGGGGCAAGCGUUGUUCGGAUUUACUGGGCGUAAAGGGAGUGUAGGCGGUUGGUCAAGUCGGAUGUGAAAGCUUCACCACUCAACGGGAAGACGUCAUCCGAAACUGGUCGGCUAGAGUAGGGUAGAGGCAAGCGGAAUUCCUGGUGUAGCGGUGGAAUGUGUAGAUAUCAGGAAGAACAUCGGUGGCGAAGGCGGCUUGCUGGGCCCUUACUGACGCUGAGACUCGAAAGCGUGGGGAGCAAACGGG
rnacentral:rRNA from 1 species